rnacentral:lncRNA from 1 species
GCGUUUCUGAGUGCUGUCAAGCAGGAUCUUCAAUCACAGUGUGCUUUGUGCUCUGCAUUCUAAAAAUGGAAAUGAAACCACCAGCUCCUCCCCAGACUGUGAGGCUUGAUGGACGCGAGCUUAAUGAACCCAGGAUAAAGGAAUUAGCCCAAGCAGAAGGCAGAAAAAGCAUUAAGAGGUGUGCAACUAAAUUCUCCUCCUCCUGAGUGAACACUGGACUGAAGGAUUCAUUUCCAAUGAAGAGACUAUGGAAAGGGGACAGCUGUAACUUUGCGUUGGAGGAACCUGGCAGGCAUCACUUUAAUCAAGCCAUCAAGGGUUAAUACCGCCAGUAGAUGUCACGAGUGCCAUGAUGUGUGAUGGAAAGGUCCCUGCAUUUCUGUCCUCUUCCUCCCCACACCCAUAGCCCUAAUCACGAGAAAACAUCAGACAAACUCCAAUUCAGGGACGUGUUACAAAUACCUGGCUGGUACUCUUCAAAAGUGUCAAGGUCGUGAAAACAAGAAUGAGAUGCUGUCACAGAUGGGAGGAUAGUCAGGAGGCGUGUUGACAAGCCCCAGCAUGGUGUCCUGGACUGGAUCCUGAGGCAGGAAAAGGACGUUAUUGGAAAAAACCAGCAAGGCAGGAAUAAAGUCUGUCGUUGAGUUAAUAGUUUUAGUCCAAUGUCGAUUACUUAGUUUGGCGCAGGGGGCCAUGAUUCUAUAAGAGAUUCACAUGAAGGGAAGCUGAGUGAAACGUAUUUGAGAACUUUCUGCAUUAGCAUGAUAAUGGGUCUAUAAAUCUAAAAGUAUUUUAAGAUAAAAGGUUUUAAAAACACUGAAGAAAAAAAAACAACAACUCCAUUUUACACCGAGUCAAAUCCAAAAUCCUUCUGCAACUCAAUAGCCUCAGAAGUCUGACCUGAUGCUCAGCAUCCCUGUCUGUUCUGUCGCCUCCUCUCAUUCCCUCCCCACCUCAGGCAGCCUUAGCAGCUUUCUACCCUGUUCCUCAGAUGCUCCCAGCAGGCUCCCAGCUCAGGGCUUGUUGUUUCCUUAGGUGGGAGAACGUUCCUUCAAAUAUCUCCAUGGC